GGAAUAGUCAUAUAGAUAUUGCCUCAUGAAUAUUUUAUCAUUAUGAUUCGUUUCUUGUAAUAUUUGGUAAAAGUUUUCUUUACAUUUUUACCCCUGCUUUAAAAGAACCCUGUGGUUCAGUUCUUUCCGUUCAAAUUUUCUUUUUUUAAGUGUAUCGCCUUCCAACAUAAAUUGGGACCCAGCACGACCUCCCUUGUUGUUACAUGUCUUAAUAAUUGUGAGUUAACAGAAACAGUGAUAUUAUUUUCUACAGAAGUUAUCUCUCUUAUCAGUGGGACAUUCCACCUUAAUUGAUUUAUUAGAAAUCAUACUGUUACAGUAUAGGUUAGUGAUGUAUUCUAAUAGACAAUUCUAAUUGCAUUUACUUGUACUUGUAGCAUCAUUACUUGUCUCAAUAUUUUUUCAGGUUUUGAUACAUUGGAUACAAAAUUGGCUUAAAAGAUUUCAACAUGAUUUUUAAAUAUGAUAUUAAAAUGCUUACAUAUAAUUAGUUACUAUAAACAUAUCUUUAAAAUAAUUGUUGUGAAGAAAGCAUAUAUUAAUUUAUAUGUCUGAAUAUAUCUCUUGCAAAAACUUUCACUCUUUCAAAACUAAACAUAAUUAAGAAAGAUUCUAAGAAAUAAACAUUUAAGUUUCUUGCUAACAUAAAGAAGAAAAUAGACGUAGAACUGUUUCAUUUUAUAUCAUGUUCAAUGUAACCAUUACAUUUGCUCAGGGUAACGGAAUGCAAUCUGUAAUUUGUAACUAUGCGAUACUUAUAUCAAAAUUCAUUUGAAAUAGCCGCUAAAUUUCGUUUACGUUGAGAUACUUACACACUAACCUUGUUUCGUUUUGUAUACGAGUGUUGAUCAAUAAAUAUGUCACGUUU
rnacentral:sRNA from 1 species